rnacentral:rRNA from 1 species
UUUAAGCAUAUUAAUUAGGGGAGGAAAAGAAACCAACAGGGAUUCCCUUAGUAAGUGCGACUGAAACGGGAUGAGCCCAGCGCAUAACCUCGCGGUAUCCCAUACCAGGGCGCGAGGGGUGUUGCGUUCAGGAGGGUCCGGACCGCUGUCUCGCACUGCCUAAGUCAUGCUUGAAAGCAGCCAUCACCCGUGGAGGGUGACAGGCCCGUGUGGCGGAGCCCGUGAGGGCGUUAGCGAGACCGUCGGAAGGGACCUCUCUUUAGAGUCGGGUUGCUUGGAAGUGCAGCCCAAAG